GUUUUUACUCUCAGUGUGUUCUGAGUGACAGUGUGUGUUAUCUCAGUGAGGGUUGUGCAUAGUGUUUGGCUGCACUGAGCCUGUUUUGAGCCAUGUGUUAAGAGUUAUGUUGCUUGGAGUGAGUUUUGCAGGUGAUGUGAACUGUUUAGCUCAGGUGACUGUUGGUAGUGAAGACUGUAGUUAGAGUUUUGCACAUGUAGUUCCAGUUGUGCUCACUGUCGUUUAGCAAUCGAAAAAAACUGUAAUAACCUUCUACUAAACAGCUGAGCAGGCACCCGACCAAUCAGCCUGCCAGAAAACCCAACCAACCACAACAUGGACCAAACUGGCCAGCCGAGCUGAAUCAAUACACUUGCCAAUGAGCAUGCCGGUCAAGGAGACCUGGAACAUGGCGAUUAACAAGCUAGCAGGUUAGCAAACAGGCAAUCCACCCUGAAACCAACGAGGGUGUGUUACAAGAUAAAGAACAAAGACAACAGUAAGUAAACGAGUGAAGAGGUACAGGAGAGUGAAAGUGAGAGAAGAGAGGGAGAGGUGGAUCUAACUAUCAUCCAAAGUCCAAAGAAGUGUCACUCCUUCAAAUCCUAAAUAGUCUCUUCUGUCCUUCGGUUGCAAAAUGACCUCAUACUGUCACGCAAUAAACUAACUCCAAUGUAAAAACAUCAUUGUGAAUGCAACUGUAAAAAACUACUGUCGUCGUAUGAAGAGCCAGAAGAGACAGUGGAGGUUAAACAAGUCAAACAAACAGGACCUUCAUCGUGUAGUGUUUGUGACACCAAACCAUUACUUAUUUGCAUCUGUUGCAUCUGUUGCUCAUUGUUCCAGGUCUUCUCUCAUCUGUUACCCUCCGUCUCUCCUGUCCCUCCGAGUUUCUCUUUUCUAUCUCAAAACAACUUCACAAGCGCUCAUAUUAUGUCUCUAUAUCUUCCUUUAUCCGUCUAUGUAAUACAUCAGCAUCCCAGAAAGAGGCAGCAGAUGCAGCAAAGUAAUUUAUCGAUGCACAGAAUAAAUAUUCCCCCCAUAAACACACCCGUCAUUAGCAUACCGGUGCCGUAUUUCCUUCUUUUCCUUCUUAUUCAAAUCUUACUGGGGCUGCAUGGACAGCAUCUGAAUUGCAAACGUGCACGCGCACACGCAAGUUCCGGCUGUCCCACUCCACCUACGCAACACACUUAUUUGCAUGAAUCAUAGAUAUGCACAUGCAUGUAUGCAUAAAGGGUUCGUUCAGUCAGGAAUACACAUGCAAACACCCAUCAAGUAAUUAGACAACUUUCUUUUUGCAUGAGACAAUCUAGCCUUUCUAAUUGUCUCCUUGGUUAUUGUGCAGAUUUCUCAUUAAACGGAUCGUUCAGUCACGCGACCGGCAUGGACAAACCCAGCUGGCGAUUCAAGGGGGUCGAUGGAUAAACAUCGCAAAGAGUUCGCCUCCAAUGCCGUCUGCUGGUCUCAAUCAGAUUCACAACUAAAAUCCAAUCUCCACUUUGCAAAGGGUCUUUUGUCCCUUAAAUGCCUCGCGGCCAUUAGGGAUUCUGUCCUCAUAACAGGCUUGAUGAACAAUCAAUGCCUGGAGCACCUGUUCUAAAUGACAAUAUGCGUGUGUGUGCAAGUGAAAACUCUGGUUGGCUGUUAGCUGUUUGUCUGCGGGCUCCACCCUCAAUGUGCGACGGGUGCGGAGGUUUGCUUUUUGUCACAUGGUUAAUACUUGAUCUUGAUCCACACUUAAGUGUGCUGACCAGCUUCCUGCCUCUUUGCUUUUUGUGGUUCCAGUUCUAGUCAGAGAUUAGGAAACAGUUUUUUGAGGGUCUCUCUUGAGUACAGCAUACGGCCAAUUUAAAAAGCGGUCUCUAUCAGGUGUCUGUCAUUCCGCUCUCUCAUGUUGAGGAGGGAGCGAUAUUUGAAGUUUUGAGCUGAAAGUCUGACUAUGAGUCUAAAUAUCUCCCGCUCAGAUCUGUGUGAAGAAAAUUGGAAAACCUCCGACGUGAUCUGGCUUUUUUGAAGCGUCGGCAUUGAACGACCUGGACGGAGACGUUCGGCUCGAAGGGGAACCGCCAGCGGCGCUUCCAGCUUUUCUGCAGAAGAAAGAGAUGUUUGACGUAUUUCUGACAGGGUUUGAUGUAGUUUGAUGUAACAAACACCAGCUCAUCUCUGCACACGCUGUAGUCUGUUUACUCUUUACCCACCAGGUCCCGCUCUAAUGAGCUGUGCUCGGCCAUCUGCCCGGUCACAUGCUGGUAAUGCCCCCCCCCUGGGAGACGAACACUGUCUCAGUGGUCCGGCUGAGUAAACAUAUGUGGCUGAUUAGAAUAAGUGUGGUUCCGUUCUCUUGUGUCGCAGUGCAGCGAACUGGGACUGGGCCACAAUUAAUGUUGUUAAGUACACCUGUGUUGGGCCGGCAGUAAGAUGUUAAGAUGUCUACCAUUGACUCCCGUUCUGACGCCUGUCUCACACUUCAGAAGGUUCAACUUGCUGCCAUUGAGCUGACUGUGAUCUCAGUUGACGGUUGUUGACAGUUGAACACGCGGCUUCAGAACAUCCCACCAUUCCACCGCAAACAUCAUCCUCCCCUUCGCGUGCUUCUUACCUGGUGGGAACCGAGACAGAAAAGGUGCGUCUCCAUCUCCAGGUCCACAUCCUUCAGGGAUGCGCUGAGAUUCAUCCGUGUCCAGGAGCGCUAGCAGAGGUCGCCAGCAGAUGAGGCCCCCGGGUCCCCGAAGAGGAAGUUGACUAGGGGGGUUAAACGGAUAAUAUUUCUGUCCUCGUCUCUUCACCUUUCCCAGCAGACCUGCCUCGACGCCGCGGAGCCUCGUCCGCCCGACGCAAAAGACCUCUGCUCCACUUUUUCGAGAGUAGAUAUCAUUCAGAAUAAAUAAGUGGCUCAUUGGUAAAUCUCUGAGAUGACGCGACGAAGCUUCAUUCCCAAGUAGCCGUCCAAUAGAAGACCUUCUUCCAGUUAUUCGCACGCAGACUUCGUUUCUUUGGUUCUCUCCUUCACGCGGCGCUCGUCUCUGUGGCAGCCUGUCGCAGCCGCGUCGCUUUUCAUUCAUUCACCCUCAUUCACUCUACUUCAUGCUUCAUUUCAAUCAUCUGUGGACAUUCACUCACUUAUCCCUCGGUUAAUUUACUCAUUCAAUCAUGGAAUCAGUCUCACUCCAGCCUGUUGGCUCGAUGGCCGACACAUUAACCCAUGCGUUGGUUCACUUCCCGACUCAUUUAGCAGCUCAUCCAUUUCAAUCAGCCUCAGUUCACCCAUUCAUCGUCUGUGCUCUAUGCGUUUAGUCCUUCCACCUCGGUCACUGUCAUUCAUUCGCUCAUUCACUGGAGAUCUUGUUGAGCGGCUGUCAAAUCGCUGGAUGUGAGACAGUGAUUCUGCUCCGUUAACCCACUCGGACGGCUAAACAGACUGCAGAGCGAAGCCCCGUCAGUUACCAUGUAUCCAUGUGCACUAAGCGUGUGUGCCUGUGUGUGUGUGUGUGUGUGUGUGUGUGUUUAGCAGUACGCGAGCAGUGUACCAACAGCAGCUUGCCUCGUCUUUUGUCCGGGACGAGCUAAUGAAGAAAAUGGAGCGAACCGAGACUCGCUUCUGGAAGUUUACACAGAGAGACAGAAUUAUUCCGCCAUCGCCGGCUCUCGUGGAGCCACGUUUCUCUCCUCCGCGUUGCUCCGGGGAGUCGGGAAAUAUCCACGCAGGAGCUUCAGGAACAUGCUCGGCCUUCAGAAUAACAAUAGUGCGGAGAUGAAUUUGUGUGGUAAUAAUAUUCCAGUGUUGACAAUAACUUCCAUACUGGCAGACGUGUUCGCAUUUUGAAAUGAGGGCAAUCGCAUUUUAUUUUUGGAUAUAAAUGCAGUAAUUUAAGAACGUAAUUAAAGUCACUGUUCCCCCCCUCCUUCCUCUUUGCUUUCAUUAUCUUUUUCUCUCUACAUCUUCACCCUCCUCCUCUUCCUCCCUCUCUCCUCCACCUCUGAUUGGCAUCUGUCUUUUCGGAGUUUUUUCUUCUGUCCUUCUGUCCUCGACCUUCUUUCUGCUCACCCCCCCCCUUAAAGACGCCCCCCUGUAUUUCUCCUCCUUUGCCCCCCCCCCCCCCCCGACUCCUCCCUCUUGACCUUCUUUACCUCCUAUCUGUGUUUUCCUCAUCUCCCCGGUUGACAUCUCAUCCUCCCCUCCAUCUUUUCCGUCCCCCCUCCCCUCCUGGAUGACGGACCAUCUGGCCUCAGGCAGCCAUCUUUGAACGCUUCGUCACGGGACGCUGCUGAGGCGUCAGCAGCGAUUGGCUGAGAGGGCCCCCAGAAUUUUGGCUGUUCCCGCCUGAGAGACGAGACGAGGUACCGAGGCGCUCAACUCGGCAGAACGAGCCCGGAAACAGACGGACGGGCGGCGUUUCCGCGGUUCUCUGCUCCGCUGACUGACGUUCACGCGCUUUGGUUCGGAUUUAAGGGAAAUGAAACGACUUAAAUCCACAUGUUUUCAUCUGCGGAGAAGAGAGGACGGCUUUCGUGCAUUGUGGCUUUGUGGAACAGCAUCGGGUGCAGUAUGGAACAAAAACAAUUAGCAAACUGAAAACACAUGGAGUGAAAUGAGACUCGUUUGUGUGGACAUGCGAAGGACAUCUGCUCCGGCCUCGUCGCAGACAUCUGAAGCCACAGCCGAUCAGAUGUUCGGCUCCCUGAUGGCUCUUCUCCCGGUUUGAGAAACAAAUCACAGCUUUGUUGCAUGUCGGUUGGAUUAAACAACAUAACGUCGGAAAAGGGAAAAUAAUAAUACCGUGCGAGGACGAGAUCCAAGCAGCUACAGAGAUACGAUGCACGUUAUCGACCACAGGGGGACAUUUAGCUGAGGCAGUGCCGACGUCUCCUCAUACAACAGAUACAUUUUACAACACAUUUUACAAGCAAAAUAAACCCCUUAACUUCUCAGGAAACUCUUCUCUCUCGCUGCUUGGGGUAAAAUAACGGCGAGCAGCUACUGAGGUAUGCGUGUUGUGCUGGAUGGGGGCUGGUCCUCCAGCGAGAUAUAAUAUGAAUGUAUCCAUCAGGCUCACAGCGGUGAGCUCGCACAUCUUGUGGCUACCUGGGGCUUCCCCGCCAACACCGAACCUGCAGGUGAACCAACACAGUCCUUUUUCUUCUUCUGCUGCUUCGGCUGAAAGGAGUGAACUGAAAGUGACCCCCCCCCCCCCGCCCUCCUCACCCCCCCGACAGCCUCUGAGAGCAGCUGGCAAUGAUGGAGGGAAGGAUGAAGGAGAUAACAACUCUUCUAAUUAAGGACAAUGGCCCUCUGGAGAUGGGCACUGAUAUCUCUGGCUGUACUUUGUUCCCGAGCAUGUAGCCAAUCAGGGACACACGUUAACAACGACUGCGGGCGAAAUUCCCCUUCAAAGUUCACCACACGUCUGUGGAUGUAAAGAUGAGGGAGGAAACGGUUUUGAGUUAUUUUCGGGAGCUUGCUGCCAGCUUUGUCAUAAAAGAUUUUGCGUAACACCCAAUAUUUCCGUAACAUUUAUUAUUUCAUAACGGCCUUAAUGCAGAACCACUGUCUGCAGUCAGCCAAAACACAAGACGUGUCACGUCUUUGUUAGCCGAAACGAAAAACAUGCAACUGUGCAAUAGCAACACGCAACGGCAACGACCACAAGAAAUGUCCGUGUUUAGGCGGAAUACAUUCGCCAACAUCUGACGAGGGGACGAGGGGAGUAAAUGCAGCGGACUUUGAGAGAGGAAAACCGCACACGUCCGGCUCCGCAGCCAGAACCGCCGGACCGAACGUUAAGCUAACCGGGCUUGGACCUGAGGCCUCUCACCGCUACCCAGCAUGCUCCUGGAGGUCCGCUGUCCGGGCGCAGCAGCAAUAAGAUGGUUGAAAUAAGACUUCAGUCGAACCGUAAACCGUCAACCUCUACCUGCACGCAAACGUUUUAUUCUUCUCUUAGUUGUAAACAAACCCAAUGUGCUCCUGAACCAGAGGGCGUCCCUCCACAAAACACACUCUGACUCAACACAAUGCGUCAUUAAAACACGUCAUAUAUGUGUCAUGCGCAACAAUCUCUUCACCUUCACCACAACGAGUCUUUCCUCCAAUAUUUUUUACAUCUCUCCUUUAUUCAUAAAUCACUUCCUUGCCUUCGCUCCUCCUCCCUGGAGGAUCUUUUUCAGGAAUAUGCUGCCAGAAGACAAAUUAUAUAAAUAGACACGUGGCUGAAUCUUAUUUUAAGCGUUAUGUAAAGCAUGAUGAAUUGCCUGAUGUGCGAUAUAUCAAUAAACUUCCCCUCUGUCCACUUCCCUCCGUCUGUUAACUCCGUCUCGGCCUUUGUGAUCACAGAAACGAGUGGAGCACAUUACGUCCCUCCCCGUCAUCCCCACAGCGUCCAUCAGAUGUCCACACGUCUCAUUUCAGUCUUGUAUUGUGGGUUUAUGUCCACGAGCUGCGUGUCUCUGUGCGUACAGGAAAACGUGGAGUCAGUCUCGUACUUUCUUUGAAAAAAAGCACCGUAUUUACAUGUAACUACACUGACCUCAUUUCACUUCCAAAGGGGGAGAACGGAGGGAUGAAAGUGGAGCAGAGAGAGAGAGAGGGGGGGAGAGAGGGAGGCAAUAAAUCAUCCUCCACCUUCUGAGCUUUGCUUCUUGUUGUUGCUCUCCCCCAUUGUGAUGAAUCGCCCUUCUCUGGCAAAAGAAAGUAUAAAACAAGAAAAUGAAAGUAAUAAAAUGAGCGAAUGAAAGCGAAGGCCAUUUCACCCCCCGCUGCCUGGUCGUGCAGGACAGGGGGUCUCUCUGGGGGAUGAUGGGGGGGGGGGACGAGUGAGAGAACAGAGGGACGUGUUCUGCUCUUCCCGGAAGGACUUCAUGAGGCGUGAAGAGUUUUCGGAGAAGUUUCAUGGCCGCGGUUGUUCAUCACUCGCUUUCAAAGGUCCAUCCUUUCAUUUUCGUCUCCUUUUCAGCUUUAUAUUCUCCUCCUCUCAAUGCAGGAUGCCACACGGACACAUCUUAGUCCCUCUAACCAGAGAGACACGUUUCUCCUCAACCUGUUUUCAUAAUGGAGAUUAAGAAUAGAUCGCAUCUGAGUUUUUUUUGUGUCUGACCUUGACCUUUGACCUUGAGCUACCCACGCGGAGGUGGACGGGAAGGGAUUCCCCCGACGUGUUCCUGAGAUAUCUGGUUAAACAUAAAACAUAAAAGGCAACAUGCACAAACCACUGUGAGACCAGUGUGUCCCAAGAGAAACAAAAAUUCACAAAUCACUAACAAGCAGAGUUAUUUUGUGAACACGUUUCAUCCCGAUUAACGAGUAAAACCCACCUUUGUUUUGGCGAACCUGAGCUGGAAGUUUAUUUUGAAAAAACACACUCUCGACUCUUUCUGAAGGUAACAAACACUCAUCAUCUUGCUCUGCUCUACUCUCCACUUCCACCUGAGGACAUUGACAUGAACGAUCCCCGAGAGGCGGAAUAUUCUCUCCCGAAUGCAAAACCUGUAUUAUUGAACCUGAUUGGAGCCUUUGAGGCACAGACGUCCUCCGAGGCGCCGUAAUGUGAUUAGAUCGAGGCUUUGCUCUCAGUCAGCUCGCCGCUUUUUUAAUCAAAGUCGAGAUUACGAGCUUUUUAGAUGGCAUCAAAUGUGCCACGCUCGCUAACGGGAUAAUGGGGGUAAUAGCAGGCUUAAGGCAUCCCAAUUUCAAAUGGUAAUAUAACGGUACAGUGGGAACAAAACCGCACUUCAGGUGCAAAUGAGUCGGAGAGAAAAACUCGCUCGGGCUGAAAUAUCAAAGCAGCUCCGAGAAGAAGGAACCGUCUCGUGAAAAUGUUCUUGUUCUUCAACUUGGUCACUACGUGUGAGGAAAGUUAAAGGGGCACCAAGUUGAAUCCGAGUUCACAGUUCUAGUCCAAUAGUAGAACCCAAAUGCUCAUAAUUACAGCUCUUUUUGACGCUGAGUUGCCGGCUGCAGAUUUAAAGAAGCGUCUCCACCAAAGAGAAUGUGAGUACAUGUUGACCUCCGUCCUUUCUGUCUUUGUUUUUCUUCUUUGACUGUGAACUUGUCCCCGGGUCGAGUAGGUCUCCUACUGACUGUCCAUUCGCAUUUAAAAUGAAUUAUAUCUAAAUGUGGAAAUUCACUUUAUGACUGCCUUUCCUCUGUUAUUUAUGUACAUCUUAUUUGUCGUUCUAUGUCUCUAAACCCCAAAAAGUUUUGCUGGUCUUGAAGCAAAAACUAGAGAAAUAAGAUGGACCCUCAACGAAUGGUCACUCAGAACCGGUUGGUGAUGCCGGUCCAGAUUAAUUCAGUUGAUCUAGAAAAACGAGGGAGAGCACAGAAGUGGAUUCUGAAAGAAAAAAUAAUUCUAUAAUAAAUUGAAAAAUUGGAAAAAUUGUCAAAACUGUGAUCAUUGAGACUGAGAGGAUUCAAGGCGACUAACACCUGCACAAUAAUUGUAUUCUGUAGUAAUGUCUCACUUGAGAAAGAAAACGUCAAAGAAGGAAAAAUAACAAAAAGCAAAAGAGAGAAAAACACAAUGGGAAAAGCCGAUGAUGAAGGAGGAGAACCUGGAGGUCGGAGAGAAUAAAGAUUUGUUUACCUCCUCCGGGCCUUAAUGCGAGGAGGCUGGAGAACAGCCGCUGGUGAGCUCAGGUGAACGCACGCCACGGGGGAAAUAACACUCGCCUAAAUCAUGGAAAAGACAGAGGAGAGGAGGGAGUGAGGGAUGGAGAGAAAGAAGAAAGAGGGAAAGGAAGUGAGAGCAAACAAACAGGAUUUUCCACGAGAAACGAGGGAAAACGUUGAAUUAUACAGAGAAAAGUCGGGAGAAAAAUAAAAAAUUGAGUGAGGAAGAGAAAAAAAGAAAAAGGAGAACAAUGCAGGAGGUGAGUAAGAGAAUAACAAGGGGAAAAAAGGAAAACAAGGACCAUCAAAAGAUGCAGAGACACAAAGACACAGAGAUGAAUCCCAAAGUAAGCAGAGAAAGGCAAAGACGCAGAGAAGCCGAAAACAACGAAGGAAGCGAGUAUCGCUGUGUGAGGAGGGAGAGGCGGUGCAGACUCAGACUGGUGGAGUCUGCAGGGUGCACAGGCCUUUGUUAACGAUGGUGUUGAUUAACAGCGAGUGUGUGACGUGCCGAUGCAGCAGCUGUCAUGGACGUUUAUCGCCUUUCUCUCCUCACGUUCCUGCUCAUUUAUCUGUUUCGCUUCUUGCAAUCGUGAUUUGCAAACUGCUGAGGCGCUUUGCCCUGGAGAGUCCAGCAGAAGAACCCAGAGGCCUUGAGGUACGACCUCCGACCCUCGGCUAUGCAUUUGGGAGGGCGGAGCGUUGGGAGGGCGGAGUGAUUGGGAGGGCGGAGCGUUGGGAGGGCGGAGUGAUUGGGAAGGUGGUGCGUUGGGAGGGCGGAGCGUUUGGGAAGCCGGAGCGUUGGGAGGGUGCAGCGUUGGGAGGGCGGAGCGUUUGGAAAGGCAGAGCGUUGAGAGGGCGGAGUGUUUGGGAGGGCAGAGUGUUUGGGAAGGCGGUGCGUUGGGAGGGCGGAGUGAUUGGGAGGGCGGUGCGUUGGGCGGGCGGAGGGUUUGGGAAGGCGGAGCGUUGGGAGGGGCGGACCGUUUGGGAGGGCGGAGCGUUUGGGAAGGCGUAGCGUUGGGGAGGGCGGAGCGUUUGGGAAGGCGUAGCGUUGGGGAGGGCGGAGCGUUUGAGAAGGCGGAGCGUUGGGGAGGGCGGAGCGUUUGGGAAGGCGGAGCGUUUGGGAGGGCGGAGCGUUUGGGAAGUCGGGCCUGGUGCACCCGGCUGGGUAACCUCUCAAACUCCGCCCACUUCCUGUGAUUCCUUUGAACAGUCGUGGGACACCAGCAGCUUUGUGCUUCCUCCGAACAUCACAAGUCAACGACCUGAAAGACACCUUUCCUGGAGCAGCUGCCAGACCGCGAGAGAAAAAACAAAGACGCGAGAGAAAUGGGUUUGAUUUGUUAAAUUUAGAAAAAAGUGGGGAGGGCAACUGUGCAAAUUUUUAAGAAACGUGAAUAAACAAGAAAGAGAUUCAGUGUUUUACCCAGAAUCCCCCCUGUGUGAGACAUGUGCAUCGAGUCCGUUUCCCUCAUGAAUCAUUCAGAGCAGAUAAAUUGAAUUAGGCCCUUGUUGUACUAAGUGUGUGUGUACUAAACGAGUGUUGUACUAAGUGUGUGUCUCUACUAAGUGUGUGUUGUACUAAUUGUGUGUGGGCCGGGUCAAACUCUUUAUUCAGCAACGACUCCUCAAACAGACAGCGCGGAUCAUUGGUACCUUUUCUGCUCUGGUGUGAGCUCAAAGAAAAACACAUUUUUAUUCACAGUGUGUGUGUGUGUGUGUCAUCUUUUUAGAACCACUUGUUAAAAUGCAGAGAAGCGUUCAGGAUGAUGCAGUUUGUGUGUGUGGUGCUGUCGUUUGAGUGCGUGUGCUUGCAGUCGGCGGUGGGGCCGGCUUAGAAGGAGGGUGCAGAGACUCAGAGCCAAAUGGGAACUUCCUGUGCGCCUCGAGGCAGCUGUUGACCGUGGCGGAAAAUAUCUGACUCUCAGAAAAAAGCCGACGUCUCAGUGUGUCCUCAGAAUGCACACACACACACACACACACACACACACACACACACACACACACACACUCUCUCCCCACUCAUAAGCUUGCGGGCAAAUGAGGAUUGCUCUUAUGUCAUACGUGGAGGAGUCUCUCUAUGCAGGAUCACAUAAACACAAACAUGCACUUUGUUUUCGCCACGUUGUCCAUCGGCAGCAGGGACGACAUGUUUUUAUAAUCCGACAGGAAGUUAAAGUCAUCGCUGUGGUUCCCCUGAUAAAAAGUCAUUGGUCAUUAACAUGUGUGAGCAUCAAGGUCAUCUUCCCAAAGGAACGCCGCCGCUCCAUGUGCUGGAAUGUAAAGGAACGUACGAGACGUGGACGGAUUGGCCUGAAACUGGAGGGCGGAGCUAAAGUGUGUACCUUUUAUUGGGUGUGCAUGAGGGCCACGCCAUGGGGGGACACUUCACACUGUAACACAGACACACACAUGUAUAAUACACGUACAUCACAUGUGUAAUGGGCUACCCACACACGCGGAGAUGACAAUCCAUCUUCCCCUCUUUAUUGUUCUCUCUCUCAUUACACCGACACGGAGGGGGGUCGGGGGGGGGUGUAGAUGGGAUGCGGGUUAUUCAACUGUGGUUGCAAAUGAAUACGGUGACUAAUCCUGACAGCGACCACAUGCUACGCGAGAAAGCGUCCUCUGUCUCUUUUGUCCGCUCCUCCGGUUAGUGAGCCGCUCCCCCUCCUAAUGAGAUUCCUAUUUCCUCAUAUAAUCUGCUUAAAGUUAAGACCAGAGACCAGAUCAUUUGGAUCUUCCUCUGGACUGAGGUGGGAGUGUCUCUCCUCACCAGGGUCCCUCUGGCAGACCCCUCAGUCGGUCAUUAUAUAGAAGUGCAAAACCUUUUCCCGCUAUCUGAAAGCAGUGCGACAUUAACACGUCUUCAUUUUAAUCCCAAAUUCUCCAAAUGAAUUUUUCAUAAUCGCACGCAGUAAUAUUUGGGCGGCAUACAUAAUUAAUGAACUCUGUGUUUAACUAGAGUUACUAAUUGUGUAACGUGCAAGCAGCAGAUGUGAACAGCACAGCAGGGGCUGCAUUGAGAGAGACAAAAUCGUCAAAGUGAACUUUUAAUUGAAUUCCAGAUACUCGUCCCCUGAAGCAUUUGCAGGAAUAUGUCAACAUUUAUCUUGACGCUCUGAGGCCACUUCACAGCCGCACACAAUCGGACUGAAGGGUCGGACAAGCACUUUUCCCCCCGGAGACCCAAGAUCGUUAUAUAAAAGUCAGCGUUGAUUUUAUAACCUUUGUACAUCGUUCAUGCUGCUUUCAUGUUUUAGCCAUAGGCUGUUAAUGAAUGAGAAACAAGGCGUCUGAAAAGGUGGUUAAAACAUAAUUCCGUCCUGGAUGUAAUGCACAUCGUAGGGGACAUAAUGUGAACCAGAGUCUCUCAUUUUACUUCACAAUGCAGACAAGUGCAGUCACUUCUGAACCAGCCGCAGUAUUCAGGCAGGACAGAGGCCGGAGAAAUAAUUGAAAGGAAGGUUCUCCGCUAUGCAACUGAUAUUAAUUAACCCGGGCAGCUGGAGGGGGAAAAAGUGCAUAAUCGGCUGCGAAUUACCUCGGCGGAGGUCGCUCUGUGACAGACAAUAAAGAUAUCAUCGGCGGCGUGUCGGGUGAGCCGGCCGGCGGGUGAAUGCAGAUGAGAGCGGGGCGCCUUGCCGGCCUGAUCCAAGGUGAGCGUUUACAUUUUUCUAAAUGGCUCCGGCUGUCUCUGGAGUCUUAAGCGGCGCUCUGAAAUCACGUGGAGUAAAACACGGCGAGCCUUCAAGAUCAGCGAGUCUUACAAGAUGCCGACUGUGCAGAGGUCAGAGGUCAAAGCCGCGCCGGCAGACGCCCGCGUACAGCAGGUCAUUUGUCUGCGAGAGGAUUAAGAACAUACGGAAUACAGUGUGUUCAAUGAAGCGCAAAUAGUUUGAAUUUACAACAAGUACGAAUGAUCCCAGAGUGACGAGACAUCCGAGCAAACGUCCAAACUAAAUCCAUCCAUUGACUCAUCAGUAUGAACCGUGCUGACCCACCGUCGCCCUCCUCUACGAUUUUCAGGAUUUGCACUCGCAGACCUUUCCAGAUGUUCAAACUGAUUGAGGCGUCCAUCACAGAUGAGCGGAAUUUCGCCGAAUUUCUGACACAUUUCUUUUUUUAAUUGGAAAAAUUUGCAAACCUGCUGAUGUCAGCGGUCCCCUCUGACUGCGUUCCGAGCGGCAUUCUCUACCUUCUCUUUGCUCACUGCCCGAUGCAUCCCAUAAUAGUCCCGUCUAUAACGAGAGGUGAUUGGCUGUCAUGAUGAAUAAACAUUAUUCUGAUCCUGAGGUAUGAAUGUACGAGCGGCCCUGAUAAGCCCUGCUCGGAACAGGGAGACUGCUGCAAUCUGCAUUCAUUGGACCGUUAUUUGAUGGUACCGGUGUGCGAGUGUGUGUGUGUGUGUGUUUGUGUGUGUGUGUGUGUCCUCUGUAUCUGCAGUGGGACAGGCGUUUAAAUGUAUUCUCUGCCUGCCAGCAGACGUCUGAACACAAUUCCGCAGACGAGCUCUCCCAUUGAUACCGCCGGGCUGUCGGCCCCCGUACCGCCGCUUGUUUGUGUGUGUGCGUCUGUUUUGUGCGUGUCAACACAUCUCUAAAUAUGAUUCCACAGAGUUGCCGGUGUGUGCGGGUGCGCGUGGGAGGAAGACUCUGGACGCGCCUUUUCACCUUCCUUCCUUGGCCCCUUUUCUUUGGCUCCAUCCAAGCGUAGUGACCCCCCCCCCCCCCCAGGCUGCAGGCCGGCAUGAGAAAACAACAAGCCGGGAGUGUGCGCGCACGCCCACAAACACACAAAAAUAGCAGACAAAACAUUUGCACGCACGUCGACUUUCACUGCACACAUUUAUAGUAUUUCUCUGAAGCAGAAACAAACUUUAAACCAGCACAUGAGGACACGGGGCGGAUGAGAACACGCAUGUGGAUAAUGCACACGCCCACAGAGGAAGGAGCCCCCAUUCGCCCCCCCCACCCGGGCCACUGCAGCAGUCUGAGGCCGACGGCUCGGAGAUUUAAAGGCUC
ensembl:lncRNA